rnacentral:lncRNA from 1 species
UUUCUGGUUUGCCAAACCAUGGUACGACUAUAACCAUGAUCGUACCGACCAUAGUGGUCCUAUCAGAUAUUCUAUAGCCAUAACAGUACUUAAUCAAAGGUGACUCCUAACAGAUAUUCGCCUCACCGCUCUCGUCAAAAGGUACAUCAUCAUCUAAAAAGAGUGGUUAUGUCACAUCUUUCAGAUCAGAUAGAGGAGGGGAGAAACAGAUACCCCUCAAAGAUAACAAGCCUAAUGAGACACUU